rnacentral:rRNA from 1 species
UACGUAGGGCGCAAGCGUUAUCCGGAAUUAUUGGGCGUAAAGAGCUCGUAGGCGGUUUGUCGCGUCUGCUGUGAAAACUCGGGGCUUAACCCCGAACUUGCAGUGGGUACGGGCAGACUAGAGUGUGGUAGGGGAGACUGGAAUUCCUGGUGUAGCGGUGAAAUGCGCAGAUAUCAGGAGGAACACCGAUGGCGAAGGCAGGUCUCUGGGCCGACUACUGACGCUGAGGAGCGAAAGCGUGGGGAGCGAACAGG